rnacentral:tRNA from 1 species
GAUUGUUUAGUUUAUAUAAAAUAGAUAUUUUGAAAGUAUCAGAAAAGAAAAAUUUCUUAAUAAUCU